AAUAAGCUAUUUAAGAGCGUAAGGUGGAUGCCUUGGCUCUCAGAGGCGAUGAAGGACGUGAUAAGCUGCGAUAAGCUACGGGGAUUGGCACACACAAUUUGAUCCGUAGAUUUCCGAAUGGGGCAACCCACUAUAUUGAAGAUAUAGUAUCCGUUAAGGAAGCAAACCCAGGGAACUGAAACAUCUAAGUACCUGGAGGAAUAGAAAACAAAAGUGAUUCCGCUAGUAGUGGCGAGCGAACGCGGAACAGCCCAAACCAAAAUUGUUUCGGCAAUUUUGGGGUUGUA
rnacentral:rRNA from 1 species